rnacentral:lncRNA from 1 species
AUAGUAGCUUAUCCUAGAUUUUAAUUUGGACUGUAGUAUAAAUUUAAUAAUGGACAAUUUUGGAUAUAAGACUGUUGUGCAUCCUCAUAUAACUGUAAAAAUAAUUGUACGACUGAGAAAAUGAAUAAAUAAAUAUAAACUAUAAAUUCAAUCUUUCGUUACAAAUUGUCUAUGCUUUUACACUCCAGAGUAAAGCUUGGACCAAUUUGAACUAUUCAUUCUUGCAGAAUAAAUCAUUCAAUGAUUAAUUGUUAGUGCUUAUUUUUUCUUCAAAAUACAUUCAAUUUUAAUGUUUUAUUGUUUCUAUUCCUUUUUAGUUGUUAUUUAUAGAUAAAUCCUCAAAAUAUUUUCCAAAUAAACUGCAGCACUUUAUUUCAUAACACAUGCAACAAUCAUAUUAAAAUAAUGUUAACUAUAAAGAAGAAUACAGUAAAAAUAUAAAGCACUCAAGUUAUUUACAAGAUCAAUGAUUUUAUUAUGUAUAGUAUUAACAAUCAAUAGCACAGUAUACAGUUUUGAUAUCAAACUAUCACAAAUAAAUUAAACAACGCUUAACAAAUGCUUUGGUUGCUAUUUUAACUUAAUAAUAUAUUUGAUCUUAACAUUUCCUCCUUUUGAAAGAAAAACAUAACCGAUGAACUAUGAUGGAUUACUAACGCUCUUCAUUGUCCAUUUUUUACAAGUCAACUAAAUUGUUUUAACAUUAGUUUAAGCUUAUAGCUUCAUUUGCCUAGUUCCUGUCCAGUUUUUACAAGUCACCAUGAUAAUAUUGUAGCAAGCUAAUCAAUAGGUUAGCUUCAAGCAAUAGCUACAACAUUCUAAAUAAUCAAGUCACUUUUUACUAGCAAAGUAUUUGAUUUGAAAAUUCAACGGUACUUCUAUUUCUUGUACAUUAUUAACAAUGGAUCUGUAGUUAAACUCUAUGUUGUCCUUGAGUUCGUUCGAAAUUCUAAUCAUCAGAUUUAGUUGAACUGAUGUUAGCUUCAUAGUUUUAAUCACGGUAUUAAGAUGAAAAUACGUCUUCUAUAUAUCGUGGUUUCAAUAACUAACGAACACCAUCUCUUCAGAUGUAGUUCAACUUUCUUGCGAUUCUGUAUCACGUCUUUGAACGAUAACUAUCUCUUCGGAUUUAGUUCAACUUAAUUAUGGCUUUGUAUCAGGUCUUUGAAAGCUCCUCUACACUUUUUUCAGUAUAUCUACAAUGACACCCACCCAUUCUCACCGGAAUUCCUUACGAUUAAUAACAUCAGAGCUAACGGUUUGAAGUAAAUCUUACUGUAGUGUAAUCCGGACCUCUCUAACCAACUCAUCUACUCAAACUCUUUCUCAUUGUAAUAUUAUCAUGAUUUUUUUAGGUACCUGUGUUGUUGGGGAGAUGAUGCUGUGUUAGAUAUUCCUAAUAAAUAAAACCGACUUGAUAUUGAGCACAUUCUGGGAACACGAUAUUUCACAAGUCGAUGUUGUUCAUUUUUAGGUGAUACCAUCACGUCACACGGUAAAUUGUUUCAAAUGAUAGAUUGUUCUAUUCACAAUUUACCGGUAAAAAGUCCUGCGUCCCUUAAGAAACAUUCUGACAGUUGUUAUAACAGUAAAAUGUUACAAAAUCCGUUUACCGGUAAAUAAAUCCUGUCUCGCAGUCUUAUUACGGUGUAGGUAAAAUCUACCGCAUUCGAAAGCUCUCAUUGGUGGAUAGGACGAACCGCCAGAUAGUUUUCUGGUCGACCAUAGAAUAGCCACAGAAUAUAUAAUCAACAGAUCAACAAAAUAAUGUUUGAUAACCAUUCGUUGAAUGGUUUCUUCUUUUUAGAAUACUUGAGAGCGAUGGUCGACCAUAGAAUAGCCACAUGAAUAUAUAACCAACAAAUCAACAA